UCGUAACAAGGUUUCCGUAGGUGAACCUGCGGAAGGAUCAUUACCGAGUGCUGGGCCCUCUGGGUCCAACCUCCCACCCGUGUCUAUUGUACCUUGUUGCUUCGGCGGGCCCGCCGUUUUCGAACGGCCGCCGGGGAGGCCUCGCGCCCCCGGGCCCGCGCCCGCCGAAGACCCCAACAUGAACGCUGUUCUGAAAGUAUGCAGUCUGAGUUUGAUUAUCAUAAUCAGUUAAAACUUUCAACAACGGAUCUCUUGGUUCCGGCAUCGAUGAAGAACGCAGCGAAAUGCGAUAAGUAAUGUGAAUUGCAGAAUUCAGUGAAUCAUCGAGUCUUUGAACGCACAUUGCGCCCCCUGGUAUUCCGGGGGGCAUGCCUGUCCGAGCGUCAUUGCUGCCCUCAAGCACGGCUUGUGUGUUGGGCCCCCGUCCCCGGUUCUCCCCGGGGACGGGCCCGAAAGGCAGCGGCGGCACCGCGUCCGAUCCUCGAGCGUAUGGGGCUUUGUCACCCGCUCUGUAGGCCCGGCCGGCGCCAGCCGACACCCCAACUUUAUUUUUCUAAGGUUGACCUCGGAUCAGGUAGGGAUACCCGCUGAACCUAAGCAUAUCA
rnacentral:misc_RNA from 1 species